rnacentral:rRNA from 1 species
UACGGGAGGCAGCAGGGGGAAUAUUGCACAAUGGGCGCAAGCCUGAUGCAGCCAUGCCGCGUGUAUGAAGAAGGCCUUCGGGUUGUAAAGUACUUUCAGUCGUGAGGAAGGUGUUAAGGUUAAUAACCUUAGCAAUUGACGUUAGCGACAGAAGAAGCACCGGCUAACUCCGUGCCAGCAGCCGCGGUAAUACGGAGGGUGCGAGCGUUAAUCGGAAUUACUGGGCGUAAAGGGCACGCAGGCGGUUAAUUAAGUUGGAUGUGAAAUCCCCGGGCUUAACCUGGGAAUGGCAUUCAAGACUGGUUAGCUAGAGUCUUGUAGAGGGGGUAGAAUUCCAUGUGUAGCGGUGAAAUGCGUAGAGAUGUGGAGGAAUACCGGUGGCGAAGGCGGCCCCUGGGACAAAGACUGACGCUCAUGUGCGAAAGCGUGGGGAGCAAACAGGGAUUAGAUACC